UACAGAGGUCUCAAGCGUUGUUCGGAUUCAUUGGGCGUAAAGGGCGCGUAGACGGGCGACCGCGUCGAUGGCUGAAAGCCCCCGGCUCAACCGGGGAAUGGGCCUCGAUACGGGUCGCCUCGAGUGGAGGAGGGGGACCUGGAACUUCCGGUGGAGCGGUGAAAUGCGUAGAGAUCAGGAAGAACACCGGUGGCGAAAGCGCUCUGCUAGGCCGCAACUGACACUGAGGGACGAAAGCUAGGGGAGCGAAUGGG
rnacentral:rRNA from 1 species